rnacentral:misc_RNA from 1 species
AUCUCAUAUGGUAGAAUAACUUAUCCCAGAAUCAAUUAUCAUAUAAUAACUUGUUUCCAACCAAACGACGGUGAUGGUUUAGACAUUUCACUUAGAGCCGGUUUUUCCUUUGAAGCACCAAACCAAACAUGUCGAUUAACUGAACUUAUAACUAACAAAAGGAAAAGAACUUGUGAAAGACUUGACGAAAUCUUCCAUAACAUUGAACAGCAAAAGUCAUGAUAUCUAAGAGAGCCAAUCAUCGUAAACUAUCACCUCUUUGUAGGCUGCAUAAAUAGAGUCAAAGAUGUAUAUAGUCAACUGCAAAAAGAAACCUAGAAAUUGCACCAAAUUGGUCUACAUCCAAUUUGAUAGUAAUAUGAACUUCUCAGCUUUCGAUCAUGGGCUCGGGACCUGAGGAUUCCGUCUGUGACUUGCUUGACUUACCAACACUAUUGAAAAGAAUGUCUUUAAUUACCUGCGACAUUAAGCCAUGAACUUGUUCGACAGUAAUCUUAGCACUAUCACGUGUAAUCUUAGCAAGCUGAGAUUCUUCCUCCUUCUUCCUUUGAGAGGCUGCCACUAAGGGCCCAAAACGUGAAUGGGACAGCUGAUUUUCAGCUUGCUCCAACUUUUCAGCAAGAUCAGAUAUCUGUCCAGCAACAUAGUCUCCAUUUCCAAGCAAAGGAGAAGAAGAAAGUGUGUUCACCCAAUACUUGUUCCAUAGUAGGUCCAAGAGAUGGCAAUCGAGAGAGGACUUGAAAUAGGUAAUAUCCAAUGAAUAAUACUGCUUGCAAUGUACUCCGAAGUCUUCAAUUUUGUUCAAAGGAAUGGUCUGGUACUCUGAGAUAGGGUCAUCUGGAGGCUUAUAUCCUUCAGGAUAUGUUCGAAAGGCACCAAUCUCAACUUUUCCAGCAGAAACAGUUCUUGUUGGAUCAAUAACA